rnacentral:sRNA from 1 species
AAUUUUACAAGAAAUUUAAACAAUAUAAAAGAUAUUAAUACGGGACGAUAUACUGCGAGAGAAAUCUUAGAUAUAACACUCAAAAUUCAAUGAUGAAAU